CUGUACUUGGUGUUACUGCGAAGGGGGGACGGAGAAGGCUAUGUUAGCCGGGCGACGGUUGUCCCGGUUUAAGCAUGUAGGCGGAGGUUCCAGGUAAAUCCGGUACCUUUUUAACGCUGAGGUGUGAUGACGAGGCACUACGGUGCUGAAGUAACAAAUGCCCUGCUUCCAGGAAAAGCCUCUAAGCAUCAGGUAACAUUAAAUCGUACCCCAAACCGA
rnacentral:rRNA from 1 species